UAGAAUAAAGCUCGCUGGAUAGAGUGUUUAGCUGUUAAUUAAAGUUUUACGGGAUCGAGGCCCGUUAUUCUAG
rnacentral:tRNA from 1 species